rnacentral:rRNA from 1 species
UGGGGAAUAUUGCACAAUGGGCGGAAGCCUGAUGCAGCGACGCCGCGUGAGGGAUGACGGCCUUCGGGUUGUAAACCUCUUUCAGCAGGGACGAAGCGUAAGUGACGGUACCUGCAGAAGAAGCGCCGGCCAACUACGUGCCAGCAGCCGCGGUAAGACGUAGGGCGCGAGCGUUGUCCGGAAUUAUUGGGCGUAAAGAGCUCGUAGGCGGCUUGUUGCGUCGGCUGUGAAAACCCGCGGCUUAACCGUGGGCUUGCAGCCGAUACGGGCAGGCUAGAGUUCGGUAGGGGAGACUGGAAUUCCUGGUGUAGCGGUGAAAUGCGCAGAUAUCAGGAGGAACACCGGUGGCGAAGGCGGGUCUCUGGGCCGAUACUGACGCUGAGGAGCGAAAGCGUGGGGAGCGAACAGGAUUAGAUACCCCUGUAGUCC